rnacentral:lncRNA from 1 species
UAUUGAACCAUUCCAUGUGGUUAACAGUGAAGAAGAAGAGACGUUAAUGGGUGAAUUCUUUGAACCCAUGAGCAGUGAAGAUGAAGGAGAGGAAAAUUAUAAGGAAAAAGAAGUUGGUGAAGUGACGGUGUCACCUUUAGAAAAUGAGCAGAGUCCUCCUCAUUCAGAAAGAAUCAAAAGUAACAAGGAGGAUGAAAUGGAGCUUACUGAUGAAGAAGAGGAUCUUGUCGUUCACCCACAAAAGAGUAAUUAUCCUCCN